rnacentral:rRNA from 1 species
CGAAAGCCUGACGGAGCAAUACCGCGUGAGGGAGGAAUGCCUUUGGGUUGUAAACCUCUUUUCUCAGGGAAGAAGAUCUGACGGUACCUGAGGAAUAAGUAUCGGCUAACUCCGUGCCAGCAGCCGCGGUAAUACGGAGGAUGCAAGCGUUAUCCGGAAUCAUUGGGCGUAAAGCGUCCGCAGGUGGUUUCCAAAGUCUGCUGUUAAAGACUGGAGCUCAACUCCGGAACGGCGGUGGAAACUUGGAAACUAGAGUUCGGUAGAGGUAGCAGGAAUUCCCAGUGUAGCGGUGAAAUGCGUAGAUAUUGGGAAGAACAUCGGUGGCGAAGGCGUGCUACUGGACCGCAACUGACACUCAGGGACGAAAGCUAGGGUAGCGAAAGGGAUUAGAUACCCCUGUAGUCCUAGCCGUAAACGAUG